GCUAGAGGAUUUUGAAGGAUUGGGGAAGUGGUCAGCCCCCCACUGAAGAUAUUCAGGAAAUAACGGAUGAUUCUUAAAGAUUGAGACUGUAUCCAUCUUUACACGGUGGCAAUUGGAGGAUCUUGAAGGAUUGGGAAGGAUCCUAGCCAGAAGGGUCAUGAAGCAUUCGCCAAUGAUCAGCAUAAACUUCAGGAUACUUACGAUCUCGCAAAGACAGACAGUUAUUGUCCCACGACACCGACGGAGUAACAGCAAGAACCGUCAGCAGGAAAACAGUCAUCUAAUCAGGAAAGCAGAUUGUGAUUUUGGUUGUUAAGUAAACCAGUUGAAAGCCCUGAGAUGUGUUCACGUCCUCUCCGCUGGUGUAAAGGUGA